CGAGCUUGCAACCCUAGUGGGGCUUUGAGGUGCUGGAACAUUGGCCCAGUAUUAGCGGGUUGGGUUUGGGAUGGCUAUCUAUUGGCCCGCCAUUCCAAGCCAAGAGUUGAACCUUGUGGCUCGAGCGAAGGCUCUGGGUCACACAGUUUCUAAAGAGGAGGGAACCGGAUAAGGUUGGCUUCACAAAGCAACAACUACCUCCCGCUCUUCGCCGUGGAAGCAUUACGAAUCAGUGUCACAUCACAUGGAUCCACCAUGGUCC
rnacentral:SRP_RNA from 1 species